rnacentral:rRNA from 1 species
AAUGAACGCUGGCGGCGUGCUUAACACAUGCAAGUCGAGCGGAGAGAGGUAGCUUGCUACUGAUCUUAGCGGCGGACGGGUGAGUAAUGCUUAGGAAUCUGCCUAUUAGUGGGGGACAACAUUUCGAAAGGAAUGAUAAUACCGCAUACGUCCUACGGGAGAAAGCAGGGGAUCUUCGGACCUUGCGCUAAUAGAUGAGCCUAAGUCGGAGUAGCUAGUUGGUGGGGUAAAGGCCUACCAAGGCGACGAUCUGUAGCGGGUCUGAGAGGAUGAUCCGCCACACUGGGACUGAGACACGGCCCAGACUCCUACGGGAGGCAGCAGUGGGGAAUAUUGGACAAUGGGCGCAAGCCUGAUCCAGCCAUGCCGCGUGUGUGAAGAAGGCCUUAUGGUUGUAAAGCACUUUAAGCGAGGAGGAGGCUACCUAGAUUAAUACUCUAGGAUAGUGGACGUUACUCGCAGAAUAAGCACCGGCUAACUCUGUGCCAGCCGCCGCCGUAAGAC